rnacentral:lncRNA from 1 species
AUAUAAUUAUCUUGAUUAGCAACUGCUUACUUUUUCCUCUUAUUCGACCUAUUCGGAUCAAGAAAAGCAAUGUAUUGAGGAUAAUUUUUCUUCCAAUCAUCCUACUUCUUACAGUAGAAGCACUCUACUUGACUCGAUCGGACUGAACUUCUUGGUCUGAACGGGCUUACACACCCCAGCACUAUGCAUCUUUUUAUUUUGCUUUUUCUUCCCUUUCUUAAAGGGAUGACGCCCUACUGAAGACCCACCAACCAUAUUCGCUGUCUCCU